rnacentral:rRNA from 1 species
AGAGUUUGAUCAUGGCUCAGAUUGAACGCUGGCGGCAUGCUUUACACAUGCAAGUCGAACGGUAACGCGGGGGCAACCCUGGCGACGAGUGGCGAACGGGUGAGUAAUACAUCGGAACAUGUCCUGGAGUGGGGGAUAGCUCGGCGAAAGCCGGAUUAAUACCGCAUAAGCUCCGAGGAGGAAAGCGGGGGACCUGGUAACGGGCCUCGCGCUGCAGGAGUGGCCGAUGUCGGAUUAGCUAGUUGGUGAGGUAAAGGCUCACCAAGGCGACGAUCCGUAGCUGGUCUGAGAGGAUGAUCAGCCACACUGGGACUGAGACACGGCCCAGACUCCUACGGGAGGCAGCAGUGGGGAAUUUUGGACAAUGGGGGCAACCCUGAUCCAGCCAUGCCGCGUGAGUGAAGAAGGCCUUCGGGUUGUAAAGCUCUUUCGGACGGGACGAAAAGGUUAUGGUGAAUAGCCAUGACUAAUGACGGUACCGUAAUAAGAAGCACCGGCUAACUACGUGCCAGCAGCCGCGGUAAUACGUAGGGUGCGAGCGUUAAUCGGAAUUACUGGGCGUAAAGCGUGCGCAGGCGGGCUUUUAAGCCAGACGUGAAAUCCCCGGGCUUAACCUGGGAAUGGCGUUUGGGACUGGAAGUCUGGAGUGCGGCAGAGGAGACUGGAAUUCCUGGUGUAGCAGUGAAAUGCGUAGAUAUCAGGAGGAACACCGAUGGCGAAGGCAGGUCUCUGGGCUGACACUGACGCUCAUGCACGAAAGCGUGGGGAGCAAACAGGAUUAGAUACCCUAGUAGUCC